CUUAAAUUUGUUUAUGUACACAGCAAUCUAUUUUCAUUUAAAUAAAAUCAGGAAGCUAAAACAAAGUUAAAACUAUCAUGAUAACCAGAAGUGAGGUUUCAUCGCCAAAAGUUUUUAAAAAUUGUCGCUAAUAGAAGGGGCACCCAAAUCUACACUGCAGCCUAAUGGCCAUGGAAGAAAUAAAUAUGGAAUUCCUGAGAUGUGGAAGAUUCCGAACAAGCGGAUGGAUUCGAGAGGUAGAAAUUAUUGGUACAACUGCAUCUGUGUCAAAGGAGAUUGGUUGCCCGCCCAUUUAUUCUUCCAUUCACAUUACAUUGGGAAAUAUUGAAAGGGUAAAUUCAAAUUCAUGAGGAAUUGCUGAAAUAAAUAGAUCUUUUCAAAAGUAUGUGCAUGUUCUUGCGAUCUAAAUUGGAUCUGCCAUCAUUACAUGUUUUGGAAGGGAAACGUUUGACUUUUCUAUGCCAGAAGUUACAGCUUACGUUCGUAAGACGAACCAGUCUUUCUUGAGGGAAGGUGCGGUUAAAGGAUCUUCAAAAUCUUAGAAACAAUACCUAUUAUUGGAGGGUUCACACCAGAAAAGAAGUGAUACUCUAAGGUUGGCCAAUAUAGAGGACAAUCGUGCCAACUGGAUAAAGGACCAACAAGGAAAGGGAAUGACAAUUUCAACUGUAAAAAUUCGCUUGCAAGCAAAAGUUACGGCAAAACAAACAAACAUAAAUGAUAUCAAAAGGGGGCCUUGUGGUUGUAGCAAA